rnacentral:sRNA from 1 species
UAUACGUAUGUAUUUUACUGGCACUCCC